rnacentral:misc_RNA from 1 species
AAAUUGUUGGGAAAACUUCGAGCAUCGGAUCAGAAAAUUUUUGGUUUCAAAUUUGUUCAUCUGGUGUUCCAUUUCUCCAGGAUUUCAACUGAUCAUCGCUUUCUAUUUCAAACGCGGACAUAAUGGCAUCCACAUCGUAUUCUAGAAGACCAUCGAGGGGAAGUCUUGCUGAUUAUGCACCGAAUACACCACCAUAUGUACCACGUCUCAUAUUUGCAUGUAUAAACCAAGUUGAAUUACGUGGUUUGGGGAAAAUGUUCUUGUACACACGGAACCACAACUUCAACAAAGCCAAAGCAUUGGUAUUAAGUUUUUGCAUGCGCAGAAGAAUACCCGACUUGAGAAGAGUUGACAUACACACGGUUACCUUGACUCUGAAGAUAUUUUUGUUUUCAUUGAGCGAGCCACUCAUUACGGAUGAACUCCGGGAUUCUCUCGUUGGCGGGUCUCGCAUAGCUGACAAAAUAACGAGGGAUGCAACACUCAUCGAAACAAUAAAAUUACUUCCGAAUCCGAAUUUCCAAACUCUCCGCUAUAUUUUAAUUCAUUUACGGUUUGUGACCAGUACGAUACCGGGAUGCAGUUUUGAUACUCUCGCUUUCGUUUUUGGACCCAUAGUGGUCGGCGGGAGCUCUGAAUAUCCCACUGCAUCUGCAUCAUCCAUUCGAGAAGAAGAUCAAAUUCAAGUCAGUGUCUCAUCAAUUUUGGUCCUGUAAAAUUAUCCUGUUUUGUAGCAUUCGAUUGAUUUGUUUUGAUUCACAGGUUUUCAGAAGCUUGUUGGAAAUGAAUCCUUAUUAGGGGAGACCGGGGCAAAACGGGAUACCCAAAAAAUGAGAGAAAUAUUUUUGUCUUUGUUUUUUUUUUUUUUAAUUUUUAUACUAGUCCGAAAAGAACAUGAAACAUAUUUUUUGUUUGGAUUUUAAUUUUUUUUUUUUUCAAAAAAUUCGUUUUUUUCAAAUUCUCUUUUUUUACAUCACUUUUAAAAUGAAAACGUUUUUGCACAGAUAUACAAAAAGUAUUUGUAAAUCUGCGAUUACUGCCUCUCAGAUUACUGUCUACGACAUCAGUAAUCGCAGAUAUAUGUUUGCGGACCAUCAUGUGUGGUUACACCUGCACAUGAAUCAUGUGCCCACUCUGCACAAUUUUGGCACUGAAUCCGUAAUUCAAUGGACAAAGAAUAAAAAUUUUUACAAAAUAAACAUUGGCAAUCUUCGUUAUUAUUCAUAUCAUUCAUUUUGAAUUGAAUUACAGAGGGUGCGUUCGACGUACGUUAGAGCGUUGUAAGCGCUGAGAGCGCUCACAGCGUGCGCUCGACUUACGUUUGAGCGCUGUAAGCGCUGAGAUCGCUUUCAACGCUUACAGCGGUAAGUCGGAAGCACUCGGUUACGGGUGUAAAGUACACCCAAGGUGCAUUGAAUUAAAAUCAUAGUAAAAAAAAUUUCAUGAGUUUUUGAGGGAUACCCCGUUUUGCCUCGGAUUUUUUUUUUUUUUUUAAAUUGAACAAAAUUUCAGUACAUUUCUUAGUUUUUGGGAGUAAAGAAUAGACAGAGCUUCCCAAACUUCUGAAAAGUUCAAUAUUUCCUUAGAUAUCCCGUUUUGCCCCGGUCUCCCCUAUAACCACGUUUUCCCUUCAAAGCUCAGGGGAAAUAUUUAUCGACGAUAAUAUACCCCGAUCGUAGUAACCUUCGACAGGAUGAAGAUGUCAUCUCAAUAUGAAAAAACAAAAUUAAUAUUUGUAGUCAAUGCUUGAUAAUAAUCCUGAUGAUAAUCCAAUUUUUUGCGGUAUUUCAUGAUGAGAUUUAAAUUUCAUUCAACAUCCUCAUUUCAGUGUCAACUAUUUAUGUUGAAUAAAGACAUUAUAAAUUA